rnacentral:rRNA from 1 species
UCCAGACUCCUACGGGAGGCAGCAGUGAGGAAUAUUGGUCAAUGGGCUUACGCCUGAACCAGCCAAGUCGCGUGAGGGAAGACUGCCCUAUGGGUUGUAAACCUCUUUUGUCAGGGAGCAACGCCGGCUACGUGUAGCCGGACUGAGAGUACCUGAAGAAAAAGCAUCGGCUAACUCCGUGCCAGCAGCCGCGGUAAUACGGAGGAUGCGAGCGUUAUCCGGAUUUAUUGGGUUUAAAGGGUGCGUAGGCGGAAUGCCAAGUCAGCGGUAAAAUCGCGGGGCUCAACCUCGCUCCGCCGUUGAAACUGGCGUUCUUGAGUGGGCGAGAAGUAUGCGGAAUGCGUGGUGUAGCGGUGAAAUGCAUAGAUAUCACGCAGAACUCCGAUUGCGAAGGCAGCAUACCGGCGCCCAACUGACGCUGAAGCACGAAAGCGUGGGUAUCGAACAGGAUUAGAUACCUGUA